rnacentral:rRNA from 1 species
AGUGAACGCUGGCGGUAGGCCUAACACAUGCAAGUCGAACGGCAGCACAGUAAGAGCUUGCUCUUACGGGUGGCGAGUGGCGGACGGGUGAGGAAAAAAUCGGAAUCUACUUUUUCGUGGGGGAUAACGUAGGGAAACUUACGCUAAUACCGCAUACGACCUACGGGUGAAAGCAGAGGAACUUCGGACCUUGCGCGGUUGAAUGAGCCGAUGUCGGAUUAGCUAGUUGGCGGGGUAAAGGCCCACCAAGGCGACGAUCCGUAGCUGGUCUGAGAGGAUGAUCAGCCACCCUGGAACUGCGACACGCUCCACAUUCCUGAGGCACGCACCAGUGUGAUUUUUUAGGCAAGGUUCGUAAGGCUUAAGUAACAACGCCGGGUUUGCGUAGAAGUACUCGGGAUUUUAAAGCCCUUUUGUUGGGGAAGAAAAGCAGCCGCUUAAUACCCUGAAUUAUUUACGGUACCCAAUGAAUAAGCACCGGCUAACUUCGUG